AUGGGGAUCCGGUGUCUUGAUCUAUACCAUCAGAGAAGAAGGCUUGCCAAGAAUGGACGAAGGUAUGAUUCUAGGAAAUCUAGAUUUGAAAGAAGGAAGCACCCGAGGAGCAAUCAAACGGACAUUUCUACGAGUGAACUCGCUAAAGCUGAAGAUCCACCAUCCAAUUUAGGCAUUGGGCAGAACUCUCUCAAUCCAGGAACUAGCUCCUAUCUCGAUGAUUCCAUUUCUCUGAAGAUUUCGUUUACAACACAACAUCAAACUCCAAUUUCAUGA
rnacentral:rRNA from 1 species